rnacentral:rRNA from 1 species
ACGUGGCGGCGUGCUCAGACAUGCAGUCGAACGAGAAAGUUCCCUUCGGGGAAUAAGUAAAGUGGCGCACGGGUGAGUAACACGUAGGUAAUCUACCUUCGGGUGGGGAAUAACCCAGGAAACUUGGGCUAACACCGCAUGAUGCAGCGGCACCACAUUGGUGACAGUUGUUAAAGCGGGGGAUUUUAGGACCUCGCGCCUGAAGAGGAGCCUGCGGCGGAUUAGCUAGUUGGUGAGGUAACGGCUCACCAAGGUCACGAUCCGUAGCCGGCCUGAGAGGGCGGUCGGCACACUGACACUGACAUACGGGUCAGACUCCUACGGGAGGCAGCAGUCGGGAAUUUUGGGCAAUGGGCGAAAGCCUGACCCAGCAACGCCGCGUGAAGGAUGAAA